CAACCGGCCCUUUUCAGGGCCACCAUUUCAUUCUGAAAAGACUGUU
rfam:Anopheles stephensi strain SDA-500 unplaced genomic scaffold supercont1.26, whole genome shotgun sequence.